UACAGAGGUCCCAAGCGUUGUUCGGAUUCAUUGGGCGUAAAGGGUGCGUAGGCGGCGCGGUAAGUCGGGUGUGAAAUCUCGGAGCUUAACUCCGAAACUGCAUUCGAUACUGGCGUGCUUGAGGACUGGAGAGGAGACUGGAAUUCAUGGUGUAGCAGUGAAAUGCGUAGAGAUCAUGAGGAAGACCAGUGGCGAAGGCGGGUCUCUGGACAGUUCCUGACGCUGAGGCACGAAGGUCAGGGGAGCAAACGGG
rnacentral:rRNA from 1 species